GUCCUCCCCGGGCGGCGACGUUGCGGCAGCGUCCUUCGAGUAUCCGCGCGCCGAGCCCGUCGCCGGCAAUUGUACCCUCGAGGAGUAUCUUGGUUAACUAACAGAAAAUGAUAGAUUGGUCCAAGCUCUAUUUAGUCACAAGAUUCUUCCCAGAGGUGCAGCAUGCUGAUCAGCUGACUCCUAAUCAUCAAAAAGUGAUCUACACGGCCAUCUCGCUUUUCAUCUUUUUGACUGCCAGCCAUCUCCUAGUGUAUGGGACAAUCCCAGUCCAACUAGUCAACGUGCCUGAUCCAUCAUACUGGGGGCAUCCAUUUUUUGCACCAAAUGGUUCUCUUCUGGCACUUGGCAUCGGUCCCAUUCUACUAUCUGAAAUUGUCACACAGAUAUUGGUGACGUCAAAUGAUAUGAACGUGGACAGCAAUGCACCCGAGGCUCGUACACUUCUGAACAGGGUUCAAAAGUUGAUGGGGAUAUUGCUCACCGUCACAGGAGCUGUUACUCGUGUGUUAGGACUUUGUUCUGUUAGCAAACUUGACACUGGCAAUGCAGUCUUAAUACUUCUUCAAAUUAUUAUCUCUGGUAUCAUUGUCAUUUAUCUUGACGAUUUCCUAAAAAAGGGAUAUGGAUUGUUAUCUGGUAUCUCUUGUUCACAGCCGCCACUAUUUGGUAAGGGUUUGAAACUAGAGGCAUUGUGACAGAGUUAGUUUAUCCUUGUAAAAUAAUACUUCUCCCAUUUUCUUGUAUAGUGAAAAUGUAUUGUGGAAAGCCUUUAUUAGCCACAUGACAUCCAUUUAUCCUAAACAAGGCACUGAAUUUGAGGGAGCUGUUCCUGCUUUGGUUCACCUUCUGAUUACGAAGAGAGAUAAAUUUUUUGCAAUGCGUGAAGCAUUUUAUCGUCAAAACCUCCCAAAUGUUACCAGCUUACUAGCUACUUGCUUAUUUGUUCUAAUUGUCGUAUCCUUCCAAGGCCUGUCUUUUGUGUUGCCAGUCAGGACGCAUAUUCCUGGGUUUCAAGUUAACUACCUCAUCAAGAUCUCCACUAUAUACUUUGGACCUAUAAUUUUGCAUCGGUUGCUGGUGUCAUUUCUUUAUAAAAUCUCAAAGAUGUUUUACAUGAAAUACGGUGGAAAUAGACUAUUGAAUCUGCUCGGCACAUGGAAUAGAUCCAUCCAUUCCCGACAAUCGUUUUUAGUUGGUGGCAUUUUGUACUACAUAACAACACCCCCAACAUGAGUGCAUAUACUAUGUGGAAACUAUGCCUGGCUAAUCUUCACAUAGCCUCGUUUCAAGCAUUUAUAUAUGUUGCCUGUCUGCUUGGUGCUUGUGUGUAUCUCUCAGUAUUUUGGAUGAGACUUCGUGUGUCUUCAAAAAGAUUUUGGAAUGGCUUUAUCAAUGCAGAACAAAGAGUCAUUCCUGCCCAGCCUGACUCAAUAGCUCCGAACCAAUUCGUCAGUCAUAUUUUGAAGGCAGCUCGUCUCGGUGGUUUCUGUGUUGGUACAUUGAUAAUUUUGGGAGAUUUCAUUGGCGUGUUUGGUUCUGGGACUGGAAUUAUGCUAGCUGUGAGUGCUUUAUAUCCUUACUUUGAUGGUAGAGCUGGUGAAGUCGGCGCUUUCGGCUUCUGAUGGAUUCUCUUCUUCUUAGAACAGGGGACACAGUAAUAUUAAUCUCACUUAUCUUUCAAAAAAAAAAUAUUAACCUCACUUGUGGGGAAAAUUAUUGAAACAUCGUUUGGCUACUACCUACCAUUAUGAGCAUGAACGUUUGCUUUCUUUUCAAGUGUAAAUAGUCUGUACA